UGAGCCAAGUUUAGGGUUUUCUCAAAACCCAAGCAGUAUUGAACUGAAGAGUUUGAUCAUGGCUCAGAUUGAACGCUGGCGGCAGGCCUAACACAUGCAAGUCGAGCGGAUGAAGGG
rnacentral:rRNA from 1 species